rnacentral:lncRNA from 1 species
GUACGUUUUAUACAUAUUUAACUAUUUUCAAUAUCCAUUUGGAUCAUUCAAUAUGAAAACGAUGUAAUUUUCGAAAUAAACUUUCCCACGACAUAAACGAUUUGUGAAUUCAAAUAGCACAUGAUCGCAAACGAAUAUUAUCGAAAUUCUCAAAAAACUAAUUUCAAAUGCUCUACUUUAACAUGUCAUAACUUUUGCGAUAAUUGACCACUUUGCACACCAUUAAUGAGUGAAAAUCUAAGCCAUGAACACUUCGAAAUGAUAUUAAGAAAACAAUAUUUUGACUUUAUUUGGCAUUCCCACGAGUGCAUCAAAAUAGAUGGUAAAAAUAAUAAUAAUAAUAAAUAACGGAGGAAAAUUUUGUGGGGUCAUUUGACCCACAUGACCCCAUGUGGGUCCGCCCCUGAAUGUUACAAGCUGGAAAAAUAUGGACAGAAAUUCAGCAAAAUUAGUCACCUAUACAUACAAAUACUCAAUUCUGAUGAAGAUCAAUUCACGUGUCCUACAAAACAAGAUGGAUGUUAAAUAAGCAUACUUGAGGAGACUUACUAUCGAAGUAGCAAAUAUACAUUGUAACUAGGAAUGAGCUUUAAUACCACUUUGCACGUUAUAUGUCUACAAAGUGUAGACUUUGUGUCGGCUUGCAUUAUCUAGUGGGUAAAAGACUGACUAAUAAAUGGCAAACAGUGUAUAAAAAAGUGCUUGCUUGGCUAAACUUUUAAGCGCUUAUAAGGUCCCAUGCUAUACCGAUUCGAUUUGAGCUCUUGAAAUUAGAAUAAAUCAGCAAAUCACGAAAUCUUGGUGACACGGAAUGUGUGGUUAAAAGUAGAUAAAACAUGUUAGUCCUAGGAAAUGUGAGGAUUAAAAUAGAGAUAAAACCUACUCAUAAGCAAUUAUAAACUUUGCCAAACAUGCACUAAAUUGAGUAUGAGGGCGUUUCCUUGCAUAAGGAAAUGCAAGGCAUAGGCCUCACUAUGAAUCACCAAAAUAAUCUAACAAACUAUCAAAAUACAAAAUUUUACAUAGUAAACAAUAAAUCAUCUAAAAAAUCUAUAGCAAAAACAUUUCUACAAUGUUAAAAGUCUUAUAUACAACUAGAAGCAUAAAAUGGAUCCACCAAUUAGCAACCACACGAACAGGCCAUUAAUCCACAACUAUAACUGAAAAUGCUAAACUAAAUCAAACAACUAAAUAACUACUUGCCAGAUUUUUCAUUGCUCCGACUCCAAAAGGAAAUAAAAACCCACAGACAGCAAGAGGAAAAAUAAGAAGGAUGUGUGAAGUUGAAUGUCGUAGGUCACCUAUCACCCGUCAUCAGCCUCCUGAAAAUUGUAACAUCACUUUGAAGGGAUCAAACUUUAGAUGGACUAAAGGGCUAG